GACGAACGCUGGCGGCGUGCCUAAUACAUGCAAGUAGAACGCUGAAGGAGGUGCUUGCUCUUCUGGAUGAGUUGCGAACGGGUGAGUAACGCGUAGGUAACCUGCCUGGUAGCGGGGGAUAACUAUUGGAAACGAUAGCUAAUACCGCAUAAUAGUAGAUGUUGCAUGACAUUUGCUUAAAAGGUGCAAUUGCAUCACUACCAGAUGGACCUGCGUUGUAUUAGCUAGUUGGUGGGGUAACGGCUCACCAAGGCAACGAUACAUAGCCGACCUGAGAGGGUGAUCGGCCACACUGGGACUGAGACACGGCCCAGACUCCUACGGGAGGCAGCAGUAGGGAAUCUUCGGCAAUGGACGGAAGUCUGACCGAGCAACGCCGCGUGAGUGAAGAAGGUUUUCGGAUCGUAAAGCUCUGUUGUAAGAGAAGAACGCGUGUGAGAGUGGAAAGUUCACACUGUGACG
rnacentral:rRNA from 1 species